GCAUCGGUGGUUUAGUGGUAAAAUUAGCCGUUGCCAAGCAUCCUCGGCUAGCCCCGGGUUCGAUUCCCGGCCGAUGCA